rnacentral:rRNA from 1 species
CAGUAGCCGCGGUAAAACGGAGGGUGCAAGCGUUAAUCGGAAUUACUGGGCGUAAAGCGCACGCAGGCGGUCUGACAAGUCAGAUGUGAAAUCCCCGGGCUUAACCUGGGAACUGCAUUUGAAACUGUCAGGCUGGAGUCUUGUAGAGGGGGGUAGAAUUCCAGGUGUAGCGGUGAAAUGCGUAGAGAUCUGGAGGAAUACCGGUGGCGAAGGCGGCCCCCUGGACAAAGACUGACGCUCAGGUGCGAAAGCGUGGGGAGCAAACAGGAUUAGAUACCCCUGUAGUCCCUGUCUCUUAUAA